AAUAUUGCACAAUGGGCGAAAGCCUGAUGCAGCAACGCCGCGUGUGUGAUGAAGGCCUUCGGGUCGUAAAGCUCUUUGAUCAGGGAUGAUAAUGAUAGUACAUGAAAAACAAUCUACGGCUAACUACGUGCCAGGAGCCGCGGUAAGACGUAGGUGGCGAGCGUUGUCCGGAAUUAGUGUGCGUAAAGGAUGCAUAGGUGGAAACUUAAGUGGGAUGUGAAAUCCCCGGGCUCAACCCGGGAACUGCAUUCCAAACUGGGUAUCUAGAGUGCAGAAGAGGAAAGAGGAAUUCCUAGUGUAGCGGUGAAAUGCGUAGAUAUUAGGAGGAACACCAGUGGCGAAGGCGGCUUUCUGGACUGUAACUGACACUGAGGCAUGAAAGCGUGGGUAGCAAACAGG
rnacentral:rRNA from 1 species